AUUGAACGCUGGCGGCAUGCCUAACACAUGCAAGUCGAACGAGACCUUCGGGUCUAGUGGCGCACGGGUGCGUAACGCGUGGGAAUCUGCCCCUCGGUUCGGAAUAACACAGAGAAAUUUGUGCUAAUACCGGAUAAUGACGAAAGUCCAAAGAUUUAUCGCCGAGGGAUGAGCCCGCGUAAGAUUAGCUAGUUGGUGGGGUAAUGGCCUACCAAGGCGACGAUCUUUAGCUGGUCUGAGAGGAUGAUCAGCCACACUGGGACUGAGACACGGCCCAGACUCCUACGGGAGGCAGCAGUGAGGAAUUUUGCACAAUGGGGGAAACCCUGAUGCAGCGACGCCGCGUGUAGGAUGAAAUGGCUUUGCCAUGUAAACUACUGUCGGAUGGGAAGAAAAGUUCGCUCGGCGGACUGGGACUGUACCAUCAAAGGAAGCACCGGCUAACUACGUGCCAGCAGCCGCGGUAAGUCUCGCGUA
rnacentral:rRNA from 1 species